rnacentral:rRNA from 1 species
AUUGAACGCUGGCGGCAUGCCUUACACAUGCAAGUCGAACGGCAGCAUGGAGAGCUUGCUCUCUGAUGGCGAGUGGCGAACGGGUGAGUAAAGCAUCGGAACGUACCGUGUAGUGGGGGAUAACGUAGCGAAAGUUACGCUAAUACCGCAUACGCACUGAGGUGGAAAGCAGGGGAUCGUAAGACCUUGCGCUAUACGAGCGGCCGAUGUCAGAUUAGCUAGUUGGUAGGGUAAAGGCCUACCAAGGCGACGAUCUGUAGCGGGUCUGAGAGGAUGAUCCGCCACACUGGGACUGAGACACGGCUCAGACUCCUACGGGAGGCAGCAGUGGGGAAUUUUGGACAAUGGGGGCAACCCUGAUCCAGCCAUGCCGCGUGAGUGAAGAAGGCCUUCGGGUUGUAAAGCUCUUUCGGCCGGGAAGAAAUCGCACAGGCUAAUACCCUGUGUGGAUGACGGUACCGGCAUAAGAAGCACCGGCUAACUACGUGCCAGCAGCAGCCGCCG